UGUUUUGCUGACAGCUCAGGGCAACGUACAAACACACCGUGUGGUCAUGGAGCAGGCAGAAGCAGCAGUCCUGGAUGUGACUGUUAAUAUACCAACUUAAGUAAGGAGGGAGACCUAGCAAUGACAACCGCAUCUGAACACCAGGAAGUGGAAUUAUGGAGCAAACUGCAAUUCCUAUCAACUGUUCUAUUCUGCCAGCUGUAACAAGAAUUCAUUCCUGAAAAAGUGUCACACACUCAUCUGUCACUAAUAGCCAAGCCGCCAGCAACUAAGAGUCAGCAGCAAAGGGCAGCUGUACAUCUACUUCCUCUCACAAGGUCUAUUCACCACUCAAAAUAUGGGAUUUAUAAGGAAAAGUCCUUGAACAGAGGGAAAUCUUGGAGGAAAUGGGGUUUGACAAAGAAUAUUUCCCAAGUGGUCUGGAAGGAAGCAGAAGAAUUAGCAAAAUCAAGAGGAGAAAAUAUGAAAAUGCAUCAGGUGAAAGCCCGAGGUUUGUUGGCAGGAGAAAAACGUGUCUGUAUUGUGUAAACUAGAAUCUAUGGCAAACAAAAUUCAAUUAUAAUGAAGCAAUUAUCA